rnacentral:tRNA from 1 species
GGGGCCUUAGCUCAGCUGGUAGAGCACCUGCUUUGCAAGCAGGGGGUCGGGGGUUCGAGCCCCCCAGGCUCCA